UACGUAGGGGGCGAGCGUUGUCCGGAUUCAUUGGGCGUAAAGAGCUCGUAGGCGGCUUGGCAAGUCGGAUGUGAAAACUCCAGGCUCAACCUGGAGCCGCCAUUCGAUACUGCUAUGGCUAGAGUCCGGUAGGGGAGUGUGGAAUUCCCGGUGUAGCGGUGAAAUGCGUAGAUAUCUGGAGGAACACCUGUGGCGAAAGCGGCUCACUGGACCACAACUGACGCUGAUGCGCGAAAGCUAGGGGAGCAAACAGG
rnacentral:rRNA from 1 species